UACGAGGGGGGCAAGCGUUGUUCGGAAUUAUUGGGCGUAAAGGGUGCGUAGGCGGUUUGAUAAGUUUGAUGUGAAAUCUCUGGGCUCAACCCAGAGUCUGCAUCGAAAACUGUCGGGCUUGAGUAUGGGAGAGGUGAGUGGAAUUUCCGGUGUAGCGGUGAAAUGCGUAGAUAUCGGAAGGAACACCUGUGGCGAAGGCGAGCUCGCUGGGACGUACUGGA
rnacentral:rRNA from 1 species